UACGUAGGGUGCGAGCGUUGCCCGGAUUUAUUGGGCGUAAAGGGCGCGUAGGCGGCCAUGCACGUCCGUUGUGAAAUCGCCCGGCUCAACUGGGCGGGGUCAGCGGAUACGGCGUGGCUGGAGCAAGCUAGGGGGCAAUGGAAUUCCCGGUGUAGUGGUGGAAUGCGUAGAUAUCGGGAGGAACACCAGUGGCGAAGGCGGUUGCCUGGAGCUUUGCUGACGCUGAUGCGCGAAAGCGUGGGGAGCGAUCCGG
rnacentral:rRNA from 1 species